rfam:Aedes albopictus isolate Foshan contig104727, whole genome shotgun sequence.
UGUUUUGUGGCUUAGUUGUUUAUAGCGUCAGACUAGCAAUACGGAGUUGUGGGUUCGAAUCCCACCAAAACAA